rnacentral:lncRNA from 1 species
CCAGACUCCGCGGAGAAUGGAGAGACAAUGGAGAGAUGAGAAAACCAGCUGCAGAAAGGAACUACCCUCUCUGCUGACAGCUGGACACGCGGCAGGAUGACCUGCCUAGCAGAGAGAGCUACCCUCUCUGCUGAGAGCUGAACACUCAUGGGGACACCCUGGCUUCAGAGAGGAGCUGCCCACUUGAGAGACCUGGAGGAGACUUCAUGAUUUUAUUCAUCCCCCAAGAUUUCCUCAGGACUGGUACCAUUUUCCAUCACUGUCUUCUGCCGUCAGCAACAUGUGAGCUUUCUCCACAGCUGAUCCGUGUCUCUCUCUCACUGCGGGCUGCCACCCCACCAAAUCUUUGGCAUGGCUAAGGCAAGAACCUUUGGCGUUACAUUUUGGCAAGCCUGCCAGGAGGAUCUCCAGGAAAGGCAUCUGGACCAUCACGUGUUCGAGACCAUCAAGCUACAAGAGGUCUUACAAAUGGAAUCUCAAAUGAGCUCAACUCACGGCUUCUACCGAGGACCCCUGGAUCGACCCGCUGGUCCCUCACUAGGCUAAAAAGUUCCCCUCUGGAGGACACCACAACUGCAGGGCCCCUUCUUCGCCCCUAAUCAGCAGAAAGUAGCCAGAACGACAGCCGCCCAGGUCCCAACAGGAGUUGGGGUGUCCAAUCUAGAGGGGGAACUGAGAGGAGGUUCCAGCUGGGCUUCCUGGGUUGAGUAGGGGCUCAGAAAGUUGUGAAACUCACUCAUUUCUUACAUCAGGACUUACUUUGGUCCUGGAUGAAUAAUAUUGAAUAUAUAUGCUUAAAAUAUUCCUAACACCAGGAUUUGUGCAUGUGUUUUCUUCCCCAAGAAAGCUAUAAACAGCAAAACUUUUGCUGUAAGAAUCCCUGUGUCCUCACUCUUUCUCUCCCUUCCCCCUCCCCUAAAACUAAAAGGAAUGUUAAAAGUCCAUUUUUCUGUGACCAGCAGACCUUAUCUAUGCUCCCAAUUCUGAUUCCUU